rnacentral:rRNA from 1 species
GUAAAAAGUCGUAACAAGGUUUCCGUAGGUGAACUGCGGAAGGAUCAUUAUCGAGUUUUGAAAAGGGUUGUAGCUGGCCUUCCGGGGCAUGUGCACGCCCUGCUCAAUCCCACUCUCUACACCUGUGCACUUACUGUGGGUCCUCUGAGGGUGCUGAGCGCGGGCCUCUCUUGGCCUGUGUGAAGGCCCCUCUGGGCCUGCGUUUUUAUUAUAAACUCCAAAGUAAUCAGAAUGUGCAAUGNGAUGUAACGCAUCUAUAUACAACUUUCAGCAACGGAUCUCUUGGCUCUCGCAUCGAUGAAGAACGCAGCGAAAUGCGAUAAGUAAUGUGAAUUGCAGAAUUCAGUGAAUCAUCGAAUCUUUGAACGCACCUUGCGCUCCUCGGUAUUCCGAGGAGCAUGCCUGUUUGAGUGUCAUGAAUUCCUCAACUUACAGGCCUUUGUGGUUUGUAAGGUUGGACUUUGGAGGUGUUGUCGGCCCAGGCGGGUCGGCUCCUCUUAAAUGCAUUAGUUCGGUUCCUUGUGGAUCGGCUCUCAGUGUGAUAAUGUCUACGCUGCGGCCGUGAAGCGUUUGGCGAGCUUCUUGACCGGUCCCUUGUCUGGGGACGAUUGAUUGACCUCUGACCUCAAAUCACGCAGACUACCCGCUGAACUUAAGCAUAUC